rnacentral:rRNA from 1 species
GUGCACCAGUCGAGAAACUUUACAAUGUGCGAAAGCACGAUAAGGGAACUCUGAGUGCCUCCUAAGGAGGCUGUUCAGGUGUCUAAAAGCACCUGGAGUAAGGGCUGGGUAAGACCGGUGCCAGCCGCCGCGGUAACACCGGCAGCCCAGGUGGUAGCCACUUUUAUUGGGUCUAAAGCGUCCGUAGCCGGUUGAGUAAGUUCCUUGGGAAAUUUGGCUGCUCAACAGUCAAGCUUCCAGGGAAUACUGCUCGACUUGGGACUGGGAGAGGUCAGAGGUACUCCAGGGGUAGGGUGAAAUCCAUUAAUCCCUGGGGGACCACCGGUAGCGAAGGCGUCUGACCAGACCAGGUCCGACGGUGAGGGACGAAGGCUAGGGUCGCGAACCGGAUUAGAUA